GGCCAGAUGGCGGAGUGGUUAACGCGACAGCCUAGAAUUAACUCGACAGCUGUUUCCUUCGGGAGCGUAGGUUCGAGUCCUACUCUGGUCG
rnacentral:tRNA from 1 species